GACGAACGCUGGCGGCGUGCUUAACACAUGCAAGUCGAGCGGUAAGGCCCUUUCGGGGGUACGACGAGCGGCGAACGGGUGAGUAACACGUGGGUGACCUGCCCUCAGCUCUGGGAGUAAGCCUGGGAAACCGGGUACUAAUACCGGAUAUGACCCCAUGACGCAUGUUGUGGGGUGGAAAGCCUUGUGCGGCUGAGGAUGGGCCCGGCGGCCUAUCAGCUUGUUGGUGGGGUGAUGGCCACCAAGGCGACGACGGGUAGCCGGCCUGAGAGGGCGACCGGCCACACUGGGAC
rnacentral:rRNA from 1 species